rnacentral:lncRNA from 1 species
UGAGGGCUUCAUGGAGGCUCUAGGGCUAGUUGGGCCCAAGGUUGAAAGGCUGUGGGCCUUUCGGGUUCUUGAGGUCUAGGUUAUGUGGGCCUCAAGGGACCAACUCUUUAUGGACCAGGUCUGGGCUCAAGAUAGGUGAGAUUAGGACGAGUCAUGGGUGUACAUGGGUUUGGGUUAACCUAAUCUCCCAUAGAGUUGGUCAAGGGAGUUUUGGAUUUGGAUCACUUGACCCGGUGUUUAUAUAUACAUGUAUUGUGUAUAGGUUGGAUUAAGCCAAGUAAUAGAAGACUCUUUCUCCCAAGUCUCUCUCUCUCUUCUCCCUCUCUCUCCAGUAAUUCUCCACACCCCAGGAGCAAAAAACCCUAGGGUUUCUUGCCGCCAGUCCAUAAAAGGAAAGAGAAGAAGGGGAGGCGCAAGCCCCUUCCCCCUUGCAGCCGCCUACCAGAUCUGCUCUCUCCCUCUUGAAGGCACCUAAACACUAGGUCCAGGAUCUGAAAUCUCUUGAGAAGAGGUUGGUACAAGUCUCUCUCAAAUUUGGAGUUGAUCUGAGGUCAUUUGAGGCACGGGUGAGAUCUCCAUCAACAAAUCUACAAGAAAGACUACAGCAGGAUAAAUCUGUGAGGUCUGUCUCCAUCUAUCUUCUUUCCCAUCUAAAACACCCCGAUUCAAGAUCUAUGAAUUGGAGGACCUCGAUCCUGGUCUAAUCUGGUUGGGUACCAGAUCUUGAAUUUUUUAGAGGUAGUUUCAGAGGCAUUCUUCAUCUGGAAUGAAAGGCUGAUGAAGAAGACAGCAACCAGGCUGAUUUUGUCAAGGGCCUUGGAUCGUGUCCAGAUGACUCCAGAUCUAUUCGUUGCUAGUUCUGCUGCACCCAAGGUCCGUGGGAGGAGCCAGAAUCAUGCUCCAAUAGUUGGUAUUCAGAGCCACGA